rnacentral:rRNA from 1 species
GACGAACGCUGGCGGCGUGCUUAACACAUGCAAGUCGAACGGAAAGGCCCUGCUUGCAGGGUACUCGAGUGUCGAACGGGUGUGUAACACGUGGGUGAUCUGCCCUGCACUUCGGGUUAAGCCUGGGAAACUGUGUCUAAUACCUGAUAGGUGCCAUUUUUAGUGUGAUGGUUGGAAAGUUUUUUCGGUGUUGGAUGAGCUCGCGGCCUAUCAGCUUGUUGGUGGGGUAAUGGCCUACCAAGGCGGCGACGGGUAGCCGGCCUGAGAGGGUGGACGGCCACAAUGGGACUGAGAGACGGACCAGAAGGCGAAGGGAGGAAGAAGUGGGGAAUAAUGCACAAUGGGAGCAAGGCGGAUGCAGAGAGGCGGCGUGGGGGAUGACGGCCUUCGGGUUGAAAAAACGAUUCGAAAGGGAAGAAGCUUUUUGUGACGGUAACUAGAUAAGAAGCAACGGCUAACUACGUG